rnacentral:lncRNA from 1 species
GCAGCACAGCGCAGCGCUCCUGGAGAGGCUGUGGGUUCGUGGCAUCCGCGCCGCGGCCGCAAGUAUAGCAGGUUUCGUACCUGGUGUUCAUCGCCGUUAAGUCAUCGCUGCUGCCACCCAGGCACGGCUCUCUAUGCCGCCGCUCCCUCCACCCUCUAGGCACUGCCUGCCGUAAGAAUUUUAACUGCGACACUCGCUUCAGCAGGAGAUUUUAUUGGCUGCAGACACACGCAGCAUCUUCUUGCGCUCCUCCUUGAGGUGGAUGGGCAGCUAGCUGGAGAUGACACAGGAUGAUGCGCAUCUUUCGCACGCUGGCUCCAAGAUCUCCGCUGCCAGUGACUUCAACAGAAGUGGAGUAAAUAAAGAUGAUCACAGAACUUGGAAGCUGACGAAAUUAAUUUUGGAAAAGAGCUGGCUUGGAGCAUGACAGAAGAAUUCGAUGGAAAGAGUGCUGGGAGCCCAACUCAAGACUGAUGUGUGCUUGGCAGGCAGUCUACCCCCGAUCUCAGUCCUCCAGCCUUUCGGCCUUUUUUCCUUUUUGGAGACAGAAUUGCAUCAUAUGGCAUCCUACACAGUCCUGCCUCAGUCUCUGCAGUGCUGGGAUUGUAGGCCUAUGCCACCUAGCCUUUCUACAAUACAAACAAAUAUGAAAAGAAGAGGGACUUCUUUGGAAAGGAGUACAGGGACUAUGGAAGAGAUGAAAAGAUAAUAUUGUCAGAAAUUAUGCCGCUUUUGAAGAGAUAAACUGAACUCUUGAUUCUGUGAGGUUAUUAAAGAAUAUUAAUUUUCAAAUCACGGUAAAAUCUUGGUAAGUGACUCAGUGACUCUACUUGGCUUGCUCAGUUAAUGAGAGCAGACCAGAAAGGAGGUCUUAACUAAGCAUCAAACAAUUACUCCACAGUUACCCGUUGUCUGGAAACACAUUGAAAUAGCUUACCCUCCCUUUCCUCAUGUUAGACAUUUAUAGAUGGGGAAAUUGGAAAUUGUCUAGUGGAAGAUAGAUUUGAUUCAAUCUAGAAAUGGUGGUGUAUUCUCUGCUAAAAGAUUUUUAUUAAAGAUUUUGUGUGUGUGUGUGUGUCUGUAUUAGGAUCUCAAUAUGUAGUGCAGGCUGGUCUAAGACAUAGCAGUCCUUCUGCCUCAGUCUCCCUAUCCCUGGUAAAAGCCUGAGCUACCACUCUUGGAGUAUAACAGAUUCCAAGAUCAUACUUUUUCUGAUGAUGGUACUUAAAAUAUUAUUUGUUACAUAACAAAUCAUCUGGGAUGCUUGUUCAACAUACAGAUUGCUGGGAAGUUGGAAUUUUGUCAUUUGUGGAAUCUGUCCCUUACUUAUACUGAGGUUUUCUGCUUAGAUUCAGCAACACAUGAGGAUAAUCAUUGUGUCCAUGGAAACCUUGGGAAGCAGUUGAAAGCCUGGGUAAGGUGUCAAUACUUUUGGGUGAGGUUUCUCAUUUUGAAACAAAAGGAAAGUGGUUCCAUGUGGCAUUUCCAUCCUUCUUCAAUAGAUAGUAUGUGCUUACCUGAGAUUAUUUUAGGUGUUAAGAAAGCCCUGCCCAUGGGGCUGGAGAGAUGGCUCAGCGGUUAAGACCACUGGCUGUUCUUUCAGAAGUCCUCAGUUCAAUUCCCAGCAACCUCAUAGUAGCUCACAACCAUCUGUAAGGGAUCUGAUGUCAUCUUCUGGCACACAAGUAUACAUGCAGACAGAGUACUCAUAUACAUUAAAUAAAUAAAUAAGUCUUAAAAAAAA